rnacentral:rRNA from 2 species
UGGGGAAUAUUAGGCAAUGGGGGAAACCCUGACCUAGCAACGCCGCGUGAAGGAUGAAGGUCUUCGGAUUGUAAACUUCUUUGGCCCGGGACGAUAAUGACGGUACCGGGAGAACAAGCCACGGCUAACUACGUGCCAGCAGCCGCGGUAAUACGUAGGUGGCAAGCGUUGUCCGGAAUUACUGGGUGUAAAGGGCGAGUAGGCGGGUGCACAAGUCAGAUGUGAAAAUCCGGGGCUCAACCCCGGACCUGCAUUUGAAACUGUGCGUCUUGAGUGAUGGAGAGGCAGGCGGAAUUCCCGGUGUAGCGGUGAAAUGCAUAGAGAUCGGGAGGAACACCAGUGGCGAAGGCGGCCUGCUGGACAUUAACUGACGCUGAGGCGCGAAAGCGUGGGGAGCGAACGGG